rnacentral:pre_miRNA from 1 species
AUCAUACUCCCUCCGUCCCAAAAUUCGUGUCUUAGAUUUGUCUUGAUACAGAUGUAUCUAAUACUAAAAAGUGACUUGAUACAUCCAUAUUUAGACAAAUCUAAGACAAAAAAUUUGGGACGGAGGGAGUAUAAA